rnacentral:rRNA from 1 species
UACAGAGGGUGCUAGCGUUGUUCGGAAUUACUGGGCGUAAAGCGUGCGCAGGCGGUUUUGUAAGUCAGAUGUGAAAUCCCCGGGCUUAACCUGGGAACUGCGUUUGAAACUACAAGGCUAGAGUGUGGCAGAGGGGGGUGGAAUUCCACGUGUAGCAGUGAAAUGCGUAGAGAUGUGGAGGAACACCGAUGGCGAAGGCAGCCCCCUGGGUUAACACUGACGCUCAGGCACGAAAGCGUGGGGAGCAAACAGG